UGUCAUUAUGAAUGGUGUUUAAUACUUCAUAUAUUAAUACAUAUUGGCGGUGAAGAAUUGCCCUCGGUAAAAUGUCGAAUGAUAGUGUAUAGCUUAAAGUUAAUGUCAGAAAAACAUUAGGGUGUCAGAUAUGUUGAGAACGUAAUAGAAUAAUGAUCUCUGUCUUCGGGCCACCCGUGUGGUUCAUGAGCCGACUAUAGUUUACCGCAACGCACGGGUAGUGCGAGGCGUAACGGAAAUAUUAUUUUCUGUUAAAAAGUAAAUGACAUUUUAAAUGUAUGUGUAGGUGUAAUAAUGAUGUACUUGUGGUAUGAGUUGUAAGUAUUUCAGAUCUAUAAACAUCUUUAACCCUGCUAGUAGCGAUAGUGUUGUACUAGUAAUCAACAAUGGAGAUUAAAACUUGUAUUUUACUAGCAACUAUAGUGUCCUGUAUUAUUCUAAAGACAGAAUCCACUAUACUAAACACGAUGGUUAAACGUUACUAUCACUGUAAUGAAGCCGAGAUAUUUAGAUGUCUGUCUCCUGUAGCUGAGUUUGAGAAUCCUUUUGAUAGUCAGUUAGCUAAGUUUGAUAAUGAAGAUGAUGUGCAUAAAAUGUGUGGUGUUGUAGACGAAGUGAAGAGUUGUAUAGGAGAGAAAUUACAACAGUGUUAUAAUACUAGAGCUAAAUUAUCGGUUGAUACAAUAGAAAAUAUACUAGGUUAUCUAUGUGGUAACGGUAAAGCAGUGUUUUUGUCAGAAGCCAAAUGUUGGGAAAGUGAGGAAUUUUUAGAAGGAAUGAAAAUAUGCGAAGCAGUAACAAGUAAUGUUAUAUCAACCACCAAUGAUAUCCAUGUUAAAUGCGGUGCUUUGGUCGAUCUAUCUGAAUGUUUGGCUGAAAUGACAACAGAUGUAUGUAAUUAUAAAGCAGGACAGUUUAUGUACGAGAUGAUUUCUGCUGGUCUAGUUCCAUCAAAACGUUUCUUGAGAUGUGGUUUUGGAUUCAGACUAGGAUCUAAAUAGAUGUUUAUUUAUUUUAAGAGUUUGACAGAAGUUUCUCCCGUUUUUGAUGUGAUUCAUUCCAUGAACAUUUCGAAUUCUGAUCGAUAAACUUGGGACUAUAUUCUUCAAUUCAAAAGUUGUGGACAGAUGGCGACAAGUAUAAUUACAAGAACUCCAUAUACCAAAAAGACCUGCGAUAUAAAUGUUGUAGACAGUUCAUAUGCUAAGAACAAAAUAAAUUUGGGGAGUAAAUUUAAAUCUGUAUUAUCAUGAAAUAAUGUAUUGCAAUUGGAAAUAGAAAAUAUCAAUUAUGA